UGUGUUUAAUUCGAUGCAACGCGAAAAACUUACCUACCCUUGACAUGCUAGGACUUGCCAGAGAUGGCUUGGUGCCCGAAAGGGAACCUAGACACAGGUGCUGCAUGGCUGUCGUCAGCUCGUGUCGUGAGAUGUUGGGUUAAGUCCCGCAACGAGCGCAACCCUUGUCAUUAAUUGCCAUCAUUCAGUUGGGCACUUUAAUGAGACUGCCGGUGACAAACCGGAGGAAGGUGGGGAUGACGUCAAGUCCUCAUGGCCCUUAUGGGUAGGGCUUCACACGUAAUACAAUGGUCGGUACAGAGGGUUGCCAACCCGCGAGGGGGAGCCAAUCCCGGAAAACCGAUCGUAGUCCGGAUUGCAGUCUGCAACUCGACUGCAUGAAGUCGGAAUCGCUAGUAAUCGCGGAUCAGCAUGUCGCGGUGAAUACGUUCCCGGGCCUU
rnacentral:rRNA from 1 species